GGUGAGGUCACAGACUGAAUGGUGAGGUCACAGAUAGGAUGGUGAGGUCACAGACUGAAUGGUGAGGUCACAGACUGGAUGAUGUGUUAGAGUUGAGCCAUCAUGGAGGUAGAACAUGGAGGUAGAACAUGGAGGUAGAACAUGGAGGUAGAACAUGGAACCUAAGCGUUGGAACAAAUGAAAGGAGCAGUGUUUGUAAUAAGUAGGACUGUUUGAUCAGAGUUCAGACUCAGACAUGAUGGAUCAUGUCAGUUUGUUUAUGGAGCAGAUCAUCAGCUGUUCUUCACAUCAUCCUGUCUUCUCUGAGGAUGUAGCAGCUGUCAGUCACUGAUCUGCUGGUURUUUAUCAUCUUUGAAWGUUUUCUUUACGAAGCCUCACUGAUCAGCUUCAUCUACCGCUGCAAUAAGAGCUUCAAACCAAAGAGCGCUGCUCGGCGGCGCCCCCUGCAGACGCACAGAGGGAGGACAGGUGUAAAUGUUACAGAGCUGUGUGUAUAUUUGAAGUGUUUUUAUCUUUUUUAAACGUGAAACCUGACGGUGCGUUCACUGUCACAGGCAAUCAUGGGAAAACUGAGUGAUUUAUGUUGUAGCUGUGUGGAGACGUGAUGAUUAUAGAUCAGGAGAUAUUUGUUAGUUUACUCUGAUUUAAGGCUCUGCUCAGAGCGAAGCAUGCUGGGAGAAAAAGCGGAGCAGCUGAGGGCUUUAAGGUGUUUUUGUUAAAACAACCAAUGGGAGCUGCAGCAGCACCCACAACGAUGARGAUGARGAUGARGARGAUGACGAUGARGAUGAUGAUGAUGACAUGAGAAGUGAUUCUGAUUGGUCCGAGCAGCAUGACAUCAGAAGCUCUGCUGGCUCUGGAACCGUCCAAUCACAGGACAAUCCUGGACCCUGCUGCCACCGCCGGGGCUGAUGGGAAAUGAAGUUUCCUUUCUUUUUGUUUGUUUGUUUUUAUUUCCYGUUUGGGCCUCUGAUUGGCUGCUUGUUUUUGUGUGUAUUCAUUUGCUUCCUGUCCCAAGCAUUUUAGCCCCACCCCCGUCUCCACCCUUUGGUUAAUGAUGUCAUCAUUUAGCAAAAUUAGAAUUAUUUAAAGGUAUAAGUGCCAUUAAUAUUUGUUUUUGUUUUUUUGGAUGCUGCUAAAGGAGCUUCGUGGCUGUCCUGCAACUUCCUGUGUGUGUCUGUGUGUGUCUGUGUGUGUGUAUCUGGGAUAAUUUAGCAUCAUAUUCUAAAAUAUGUGUUUCUCUUUUUAAAGCUGUUUUUUUUUGUCCUUUUUAAUUUACUUUUUAUUGUAUUUGUUGAUUUUUGUUUUAUUUUGUUUUGGAGAUUUGAGGAGGAAAAGGGGGAGGGGCCUGAGGGGUUGUUGCCAGGUGACCCUGGUUUCAGAACAUUUAGAGGAAAACAACCCUCAGUGACUGUCCCCGCCCAUCCAUACCUCCAUCCAAUCAGAUCCUCAGAAUGUGUGACACAGAGUCACAAACAUGGACAUGAUGACAUCAUGAUGUAAGCUCUUCCUAUUGGCCCAGAGCUCCUCYGCUGUGUUUCUGUCGGUGUUGGUUUGUUGUUGUUUUUGUUUGUUGUAUCAGGAACCAAUCUCAGGCUCUGCAGACAACAUGAUGGCAAUAAAGUGUCAACAACUCUUCA